GGCGGCCCGGCGCGGGGCUCUCAUAGUGCUGGAGGGCGUGGACCGCGCCGGGAAGAGCACGCAGAGCCGCAAGCUGGUGGAAGCGCUGUGCGCCGCGGGCCACCGCGCCGAACUGCUCCGGUUCCCGGAAAGAUCAACUGAAAUCGGCAAACUUCUGAGUUCCUACUUGCAAAAGAAAAGUGACGUGGAGGAUCACUCGGUGCACCUGCUUUUUUCUGCAAAUCGCUGGGAACAAGUGUAAAAACCAUUGCACACUGCUCCCUCUGCCCUUGCCACUUUCCUUCCUCCUGAGAUUCAGUGAACGCAGCACUCGAUUCUGAAUGACAGUGACAGUAGUGCUGGGCCUGAUGUUCUUCUGUUUAGCAGUCCUGUGGGCAGAGGUGGUGAAGCGCCCUAGUUCCCAAAGGGCGCUAAUGAAUGCUGUUUCGUCCUCCUGCUCCCCACACCCCAUAACUAAUAGACUUCAGUUUUUCGGGUUUUUUUAGACGGAGUUCCGCUCUGUCGCCAGGCAGAGGUGUGAUCUCGGCUCACUGCAACCUCCGCCUCCCAGGUUCAAGCGAUUCUCCUGCGUCAGCCUCCCGAGUAGCUGGGACUACAGGCGCGCCCCAGCAUGCUCAGCUAAUUUUUGCAAUUUUAAUUUACUUUAUUUUUAAAUUUAAUUUUUGUAUUUUUAGUAGAGACAGGGUUUCACCAUGUUGGCCAGGAUGGUCUCUCUUGACCUUGUGAUCCACUCGCCUCGGCCUCCCAAAGUUCUGGGAUUACGCAGGUGUGAGCCACCGUACCUGGCCCUUUUUUUUUUAUUUUUAAGACAAGGUAUUGCUCUGUGGCCCAGGCUGGAGUGCAGUGGCACCCGAUCAUGGCUCACUGCAGCCUCAACUUCCUAGGCUCAAGCAGUCCUCCCACCUCAGCAUCCUGAGUAGCUUAGGGCCAUAGGGGCAUGCUACCAAGCCCGGCUAAUUUUUUUUUUUUUUUUUAAUGUAGAGUCAAGGUCUCACCAUAUCACGCCCAGGCUGGUCUCAAACCCCUGGCCUCAUAGACUUAAUGUUUUAAAGAUAGCUUUAGGUAUAUAGAAAAACUGAUCAAAAAGUAGAGUAUGUAGAGCGCUCCCUACAUACUACCCCUGCCUUCCCCCCUUCCCCAUUAUUUAUGUGCUGUGUUAUGUUACAUUUGUUAAAAUUGAUAACCAAUAUUGAUACAUUAGUAACUGAGUUUAUAUGAACUCUCCUACCACCUUUUUUUGUUUUACAUCAUUGUAGUAGGUUUCCUCUUCAUUCAACACUUAAUGUUGAUGUGUGUUCUUUCAAUGUUUUUAUUUACAUUUAUAUACAUAUGUAGAAACUACUAUAGUUAGAAUUUUGUUUUUUAACAUAAAUGAGGUCAUACCAUACAAAUUAUUUGGCAGCUUUCUUUCUAACUCUGCCUUACAGAUUUCUGCACUUACAGAUCCCCUAACUCUGCCCUUCUCAUUCUCUUUAAUUGUCGUCGCAUUGUCUCUAGAACCACGGUACGUGUAGCCAGUUCCCUGCUGGUGAAUCUUCAGUGGUUCCUCAUCAUCCGUGUUACAUGAAACACUGCAUUACUCUCCUCCGGCUUAGCUUUGUGUCUUGCUUGGAAAGGCUGUCCCCACUCCAAGUCUUAAAUGAAAAUGAGACCAUUUUUAAUAAUCUUUUUAACACAUCUAGAAUUUAUGGAGGCAAUUGUUCUUCUGAUUUUGCUUUUUGUGGCUUUGUAGAAAAGUGAUGAAACACGUAUAUGCCCAAUUUAAAAUGAAGAAUAAUCCUGAUUUUACUUUUUAGAUAAUAAUCUUAUCCCAGGUACCCAGGGCUACGUCUCUUGUGUCCAUCUAUUCUCCUACAGGUUACUUGUUUCCCUAAUAGAUAUUUAAGUUUCCUCUAUGUCUAACUGUGGCUUGAUAGUUUUUUUUUGUUGUUUUGUUUUGGUUUUUUUUGAGACAAGAGUCUCGUUGUGUUGCUCAGGUUGGAGUGCAGUGGCUCAGUCUCGGCUCACUGCAACCGCCGCCUCCCGGGUUCAAGCAUUUCUCCUGCCUCAGCCUCCUGAGUAGCUGGGAUUACAGGCGCGUACGACCAUGCACAGCUAAUUUUUAUGUUUUAGUAGAGACAGGGUUUCACCAUGUUGGCCAGGGUGGUCUUGAACUCCUGACCUCAAGUGAUCCUCCCACGUCGGCCUCCCACAGUGCUGGGAUUACAGGCAUGAGCCACCAUGCCCGACCAAUAGUUCAUGUCUUUUUUGCCCUAAUUAAUAGUCCCUUGUUUGGAUGUACCAUAGUUCAUUACCUACUAAAGGACAUCUUUGUUGCUUCCAAGUUUUGGCAGUUAUAAAUCUGUUAUAAACAUCCUGGUGCAGGAUUUUGUGUGGUCAUAAGCUUUCACUUCUUUUGGGUAAAUGCCAGGGAGCACCACUGCUUUAAUAUGUGGUAAGACUAUUAAUUUUUGUGAAGAACUGCUAAACCAUGGGUAUCCAGUCUUUUGGCUUCCCUGGGCCACAUUGGAAGAAAUGUCUUGGGCCACGCAUAAAAUACACUAACAAUUGCUGAUGAGCUUAAAAAAAAAAAUCUCGUAACGUUUUGAGAAAGCUUAACAAAUUUGUGUUGGGCUGCAUGCAGCCUGCGGGCCUUGGGUUGGACAAGCUUGUGGUGAACUGUCUUCCAAAGUGGCUGCAGCAUCUUGCAUUCUCACCAGCAGUGAACAAGGGUUGCUAUUGCUCCAGACCCUCACCAGCAUUUGGUGUUGUCAGUGUUUGGAUGUUUGCCAUUCUGAUAGGUGUGUGUGGCAUCUCAUUGUUCUAGUUUGCAUUUCCCUGCUGACAUAUGAUGUGGAGUAUCUUUUCAUAUGCUUGUUUGCCAUCUGUGUAUCUGGUUUCGUAAGGGAUCUGUUGAGUGCUUUGGCCCACUCUUUUUUUUGGGACAGGGUCUCAACCAGGCUAGAGUACAGUGGCACGGUCUUGGCUCACUGCAGCCUCUACUUCCCAGGCUCAAGCGAUCCUCCUGCCUUAGCCUCCCAAGUAGCUGGGACUACAGGUGCAUGCCACCAUGCUAAGUUUUGUAUUUCUUUUUUGUUUUCCUCGAGACAGUUUCAUUCUUGUCGCCCAGACUGGAGUGCAAUGGGGCGAUCUUGGCUCACUGCAACCUACGCCUCGCAGGUUCAAGCGAUUCUCCUGCCUCAGCCUCUCAAGUAGCUGUGAUCACAGACAGGGUCUCUGUGUCAUGCAGGCUGAGUGCAGUGCGCAAUCACAGCUUACUGCAGCCUCGACCUCCCGGGUUCAAGUGAUCUUCCCACCUCAGCCUCCCAAGUAGCUGCAACUAUAGGCACGUUAACACACCUGGCUAAUUUUUGUAAAAUUUUUUGUAGCGAUGGAGUCUCACUAUUGUUGCCCAGGCUGGUCUUGAACUCCUGGACCCAAGCAGUCCUCCUGCCUUGGUUUCCCAAAGUGCUGUGAUUAGAGGCAUGAGCCACCCUGCCUGGCCUUAUUUUUUUUUAGGAGAAAUGUCUUGCUCUGUUGCCCAGGCUGGAAUGUUGUGGCAUGAUCACAGCUUACUGCAGCCUUAAACUCCUGGGUUCAAGUGAUCCUCCUGCCUCAGCCUCUGGAGUAGCUAGGACUACAGAAUUUUUCCCUAGAUUGGUGUAAACAGCCAGACGUGGGCCUUCCCAAACCCGACCUGGUCCUGUUCCUCCAGUUACAGCUGGCGGAUGCUGCCAAGCGGGGAGCGUUUGGCCAUGAGCGCUAUGAGAACGGGGCUUUCCAGGAGCGGGCGCUCCGGUGUUUCCACCAGCUCAUGAAAGACACGACUUUGAACUGGAAGAUGGUGGAUGCUUCCAAAAGCAUCGAAGCUGUCCAUGAGGACAUCCGCGUGCUCUCUGAGGACGCCAUCCGCACUGCCACAGAGAAGCCGCUGGGGGAGCUAUGGAAGUGACCCAAGGCUGCCCACUGGAGACGCCUCUCCCUGCAGUCCCCCGAGAGGUGGGAGACUCGCGGAAGGCCCCGUCCCCAGCAGAGUCCAGACCCCACAACUUCAGGAGCUCUUUCCCGGCAGCAGAGAUCUGCAGGCUGCCUCUUCUGCCCCGGAGCUGGGGUGCACUGGGGACCCCCGUGGUGGGGACCUUGGCAGUGUGGACAUGAGCAGAGCGAUGGAGCAGUCUCCUGCCCUCUCCCCUGUCCUGAUGGCACUCUGUUGUAUUUUCUUACUGAAGUUCAGUGAUAACUCUGAGCAGUUUCAUUGUGAUCACUGUAAAUGGUAAUCAGUUGGAAUUCUCCUAAAUGUCUUCCAGACACUAGUAAAAAACGACCUGAAAA
rnacentral:lncRNA from 1 species